rnacentral:rRNA from 1 species
UGCCCCAGUAACGGCGAGUGAAGCGGCAACAGCUCAAAUUUGAAAUCUGGCCCCCCCCCGCGGGGCCCGAGUUGUAAUUUGCAGAGGAUGCUUUUGGCGCGGCGCCUUCCGAGUUCCCUGGAACGGGACGCCAUAGAGGGUGAGAGCCCCGUCUGGUCGGACGCCCAGCCUCUGUAAAGCUCCUUCGACGAGUCGAGUAGUUUGGGAAUGCUGCUCUAAAUGGGAGGUAUAUGUCUUCUAAAGCUAAAUACUGGCCAGAGACCGAUAGCGCACAAGUAGAGUGAUCGAAAGAUGAAAAGCACUUUGAAAAGAGGGUUAAACAGUACGUGAAAUUGUUGAAAGGGAAGCGCUUGUGACCAGACAUGGGCGCGGCGAAUCAUCCGGCGUUCUCGCCGGUGCACUUCGCCGCGCCCGGGCCAGCAUCAGUUCGCGGCGGGGGACAAAGGCGCCGGGAACGUGGCUCCCCCGGGAGUGUUAUAGCCCGGCGCGCAAUGCCCCGCGGCGGACUGAGGUUCGCGCAUCCGCAAGGAUGCUGGCGUAAUGGUCACCAGUGACCCGUCUUGAAACACGGACCAAGGAGUCGUCCUCGUAUGCGAGUGUUCGGGUGUCAAACCCCUACGCGCAAUGAAAGUGAACGCAGGUGAGAGCCUCACGGCGCAUCAUCGACCGAUCCUGAUGUUCUCGGAUGGAUUUGAGUAAGAGCAUACGGGGCCGGACCCGAAAGAAGGUGAACUAUGCCUGUGUAGGGUGAAGCCAGAGGAAACUCUGGUGGAGGCUCGCAGCGGUUCUGACGUGCAAAUCGAUCGUCAAACAUGGGCAUGGGGGCGAAAGACUAAUCG